rnacentral:rRNA from 1 species
UGGAAAGCUCUCUCACUCUUAGGUAUGAACAAACUCUCUAAGCUCAAUCAAUUUUAUAAGCAGAGAAGUAAGAAGGGUUGGGCCACUGCUGGUGAUCGUAAUACUAAGUUUUUUCAUCAGGCUGUGAUCAAAAGAAGAAAAAGAAAUACUAUUUGUUCCAUUAAGGAUGAGAAUGAUGUGCUUCAUUUUAAACCUAGUGCUAUCACUAAUACUUUUGUCAAUUAUUUUAGUAACACUGCAAGGCCUUUUCUUAAUACUCGUUUGCCUGACAACUCUUUGGAUCCUACUUACUUUCUUCCAGAUAAACAUGAGAUUUUGCAGAUUCUCAAAGACAUGAAGUUGAAUGCUUCUCCGGGUCCGGAUGGAUUUAAUGUUGAAUUUUAUCUAGCAGCAUGGGAUUGGAUUGGCGAGGAAGUUACUCAACUUGUGACUACCUUUUAUAAAACUGGUAUUUUACCUCCUCAUAUCAAUGACACUAAUAUUGCUCUCAUUCCAAAAAAGUUAGUUCCUCAAGUUCCUAUGGAUUAUCAUCCC